rnacentral:rRNA from 1 species
CGUAGGGUGCGAGCGUUAAUCGGAAUACUGGGCGUAAAGCGUGCGCAGGCGGUUUUGUAAGACAGAUGUGAAAUCCCCGGGCUCAACCUGGGACCUGCAUUUGUGACUGCAAGGCUAGAGUACGGUAGAGGGGGAUGGAAUUCCGCGUGUAGCAGUGAAAUGCGUAGAUAUGCGGAGGAACACCGAUGGCGAAGGCAAUCCCCUGGACCUGUACUGACGCUCAUGCACGAAAGCGUGGGGAGCAAACAGGAUUAGAUACCCUGGUAGUCCACGCCCUAAACGAUGUCAACUGGUUGUUGGGUCUUUACUGACUCAGUAACGAAGCUAACGCGUGAAGUUGACCGCCUGGGGAGUACGGCCGCAAGGUUG